ensembl:lncRNA novel transcript
GAGUUCUUUGCGGAGCUGCUUUUCAGCAGAGACCUGCAGCAUCAGAAAGAGCCAGUGAGCUGGUGACCUGGGAAAAGAGAGUUGCAGGCAAAGGGAACGGCCAGUGCAGAGGCCGUGGGGUAAGAAUAACCUUGGUGUGCUCCAGGGACAGAAAGAAGACCAGGGCACCCAGUCCACUGAGUGGAAGGAAGAGAAAUAUGCCAAGGGUGGAAAGGGAUGUGGUUUCUACCCCUGGAUUGAGAGUCUGGCAAACCAUGUCUACCUCUGCACUUUGCUGAUGGUAUUUCUCUCACAGGGAAGUCUCUUCUUCCUUUCUCUCCUCAUUAUAAGUAAAUUUUACCUUCUUUUGGAUUCAGCAUAAUCCCCAGCUUCUCCAGGCCACCUUCCCCAAUUAAUCCAGCCCACUGGGUAAAUUCACCUCCUGCGCUAAAUAAAGAGCGUGCCCAUUUGAACACUGAA